rnacentral:rRNA from 1 species
CAGGUGCGAAAGCGUGGGGAGCAAACAGGAUUAGAUACCCUGGUAGUCCACGCCGUAAACGAUGUCGACUUGGAGGUUGUGCCCUUGAGGCGUGGCUUCCGGAGCUAACGCGUUAAGUCGACCGCCUGGGGAGUACGGCCGCAAGGUUAAAACUCAAAUGAAUUGACGGGGGCCUGCACAAGCGGUGGAGCAUGUGGUUUAAUUCGAUGCAACGCGAAGAACCUUACCUGGUCUUGACAUCCACAGAACUUUCCAGAGAUGGAUUGGUGCCUUCGGGAACUGUGAGACAGGUGCUGCAUGGCUGUCGUCAGCUCGUGUUGUGAAAUGUUGGGUUAAGUCCCGCAACGAG